CCCAGAUGCCAUUUAUCAAAAUAUCUGGCAAAGGCAUCACUUGUGUUGAUUUAACAUGAUAUGAACUUGAAAGGGAAAACUUGCUAGGCCAUCAGUUGGUGAAAUGGUCAUUAGAUUUAUCAUCCCUCUUUAUCUGAAGAUUGAUCAGGAGAAGGUAGCAACUGUUCUUCAUUUCCAUCAGUUUCUGCGGGUUGAUCAUGUGCAGGAAGUUCCUCAGCAGCUUCAGUGUUCUCAGGAUAAAAAUUGAUGGGGAACUUUGUGACCCUGGGUUUGUCAGACAAAAUGUUUCUUUGAACCUUAUCAAUUAACACUUUUGAUGGAGGUUCCUCUCUCAGUUGCUCAUCUUCAUAGUCAUUGUUAACAUAGUAACCAACUCUAACAAAUUCCUGACCCAGAUAGGAGCAGGUCAACAAAAGCACUGUCACGCCAAUGAUAUCUUCUUCGCGAAUCUUCAAUGGAUCAGGUGGGUCUGCCUGCAAAACAAAUCGAUAGUUUCCAACAUUGAUGGGCCCAACAAGAACACUCUCCAAAAGUUGAUCAUAAGUCUCAUCCUCAGCUGACCCCACAUAGAUUAGUUUCCAUUCCAAAUCAUCUUUGAGAGGAGUCAAGCACUCGUAAGAGAUCUCGAACUGAAAAGGGGACAAAAACGGCGCCGGAUUAUCCAGUACAGUAACGUUAGUGAUAUUGACAGCACUCAUUGUGAAGAGAAAUCAAAUUGAAACCCUAGAUUCGAGAAGCUUCAUCUAAAGGCGAAACAGAAUCCAGGAAAGAAAAGAAACAAACAAUUAAAAGGUAUUCGAGGUAAUUAAAAGUCCUAGAUUGGUAAGGAAUUUGGAGAAGAGCAAGGAAAAAACAGAGAAGGCUGGGUUUUAAGGUAAAUGGAAAUGGAAAUUGGAGGAGGAGACGGUUGAAGAGCUUGGAGAAUUGCAAAUGGCGGGAGAUUGAAUUUGGGUAUGAAUAGAGGAGGGAGCGGGAAUGGAAUUUCAGAAUUCAGACUAGGGCUGAGGUGGAAAAUUUUUUUGUGUUA
rnacentral:misc_RNA from 1 species